GACAGAGGUGGCGAGCGUUGUUCGGAUUUAUUGGGCGUAAAGCGUACGCAGGCGGUUUGGUAAGUCAGAGGUGAAAGCCCACAGCUUAACUGUGGCACUGCCUUUGAUACUGCCUUUCUAGAGUGCAUGAGGGGGAAGCGGAAUUCCGAGUGUAGAGGUGAAAUUCGUAGAUAUUCGGAGGAACACCGGUGGCGAAGGCGGCUUCCUGGCAUGUAACUGACGCUCAUGUACGAAAGCGUGGGGAGCAAAC
rnacentral:rRNA from 1 species